rnacentral:rRNA from 1 species
UACGUAGGGUGCAAGCGUUGUCCGGAAUUAUUGGGCGUAAAGCGCGUGUAGGCGGCCCGAUUAGUCCGCUGUGAAAGUCCAGGGCUCAACCCUGGAAUGCCGGUGGAUACUGUCGGGCUAGAGUCCGGAAGGGGCGAGUGGAAUUCCUGGUGUAGCGGUGAAAUGCGCAGAUAUCAGGAGGAACACCGAUGGCGAAGGCAGCUCGCUGGGACGUGACUGACGCUGAGACGCGAAAGCGUGGGGAGCAAACAGG